rnacentral:rRNA from 1 species
UACGUAGGGGGCGAGCGUUGUCCGGAUUUAUUGGGCGUAAAGAGCUUGUAGGCGGUUCGAUAAGUCGGACGUGAAAUCUCCACGCUCAACGUGGAGGGGCCGUUCGAUACUGUCGUGACUCGAGUCCGGUAGGGGAGUGUGGAAUUCCCGGUGUAGCGGUGAAAUGCGCAGAGAUCGGGAGGAACACCCGUAGCGAAGGCGGCACUCUGGGCCGGUACUGACGCUGAGGAGCGAAAGCGUGGGGAGCAAACAGG